rnacentral:rRNA from 1 species
UGGAGGGAAGGUGGGGAUGACGUCAAGUCAUCAUGGCCCUUACGGCCUGGGCUACACACGUGCUACACAGGUCGGUACAGAGGGUCGCCAAGCCGCGAGGUGGAGCUAAUCUCACAAAACCGAUCGUAGUCCGGAUCGCAGUCUGUAACUCGACUGCGUGAAGUCGGAAUCGCUAGUAAUCGCGAAUCAGAAUGUCGCGGUGAAUACGUUCCCGGGCCUUGUACACACCGCCCAUCACACCAUGGGAGUGGGUUGCACCAGAAGUAG